GGGAGCAAUUACAGGAACCCAGAACCAGAGAGAGCUGUGUGCAGAGGCUGCCUGAUAAAAGCUGUGAGCUUCCGUCAAUGGACAUAGUAUUUUCUCUCUGGAGCUGCGGAGUCCAGCAUGAAGAUCCCUCCUUGCCAUAGGUCUCUACAUGUGUCCCUGUAGGUGAGCACUUCUGCGCAUGUGUGAAACCUGGUGACAUGAUCUCGUCACACUGUUGCAACUAAGAACAGAGCGUUCCCCAGAUGAGACGCAACACGCGGAUGCCACAAAGUGUGAGGAUUUGCCCAAGGAGCAUCGGAAAAGCCCCCGGACGGAGCACAAGGACGCCCUGGGAAUGCCCUGCUUGUGUGCUACUGGCUGCUUCCUCGGGCUGUGGGAUCCCUGGUGGAGCCGCGGCAACUUCCUGCUCAGAGGUGGCCCAGGGGGACAACCGAGCGGUCUCCCCUCCAACAACGACGAUGACAACAACAACAACAACAACAACAACAAACCCAAAAAAGCAAAAUUUGGAGACGCGGUGGGAUGUUCUUUCACAGAGUAGCUUCUAUCGGUCCUGUUUGCUUUUCUUUAAUAAGUCUGUUCUUUUCAAAUGACUUAAUGAUUGUCAGAAUUUUACCCAGGGGCAAGUGUACUAUGAUCUCAGUGAGUUAAGGUGUUUUGUUUUGUUUUUUAAAUAAAACAAGUAAACAAACACACAUACAAAAAUGCCUAUAAGCGCUUUCCUAACACUUGAAAUGUGUAGGGCCUAUCAGACUGCUUUCAAACAAGGAUUAAUUUCGCGAAAGGAUCUCCCUGUAACCACCACGAGUAUUGCUCUUAAACAAAGAAUGGGACUGAAGAUCAGAAAGAAUAACCUGUGAUGAAAGAUCAAGCAGGCUGGAGACAGGAGAACACUUCCGUUCGCUUUUGCCAGGAAAGAAUGUAACUUGUCCGGGGGGGGGGGGGGGAGGGGGCUGCUGCUAUUAACACUCUAGGAUACUAUUUACAGCCGCUUCUAAAAUGGAGUCAGUUUCUACAAUGCCUUCACUGUGGUCCGGGAUGAACUUUUCCAGGCAGUUUUCCUGCGAAGCCAUUGGAGAAAAGUUGGGGAAAUCUAACUCAACGGAGCCGCUAACCGUGGGGUCACUCUGGGGCUGCCGCCCAGCCUUUUUGAGUUCCAAGAUGUUCUUAAAUGUUGUUUCUAAACUCUUGGUGAGCUGGAGGUCUGCCUGGGGCUCGCUUGACCCUUUCAUGAUGUCUGUGUGUAAAACUUCAUUCUUUGGAGAAUUCCUCAGAGUUUUGUCCUGGAAGGAAUUGUUACACGUCAUCUCCAAGUGAGAAUCUGCUAGGAUGCUCGAGAGUUUGCUCUCAGUACCGUGGUCGGGUCUGGAUGAGGUUUUCCGGUGCCCUUCGGGGCCGGGGGAGCACUCACUGGCCUUCGUGGACUCUCUCCGGCUGCUUUUCUCUUCGGACGCACCCCGGUACUGUGCUAAGCCCACUUUGUCAAAUUUCAGUGCUCUGCCGAGGCAUUCAGUUUUUUUAGAAACGUUUCCUUCUGCGGAGACCACGAUGUGAUUAGGCACUAGAUGAAAUUGGUCAUGAUUCGUCGGUUCUGCCGUGCCUGGCUUGGCUCGGUCUCGGCUUUGGGCCUUGGCUGUCAGGUGUAGAGCGCUGGGUGUUUUACUGCCGUGCUGGUCACUCCGGCCAAACUGCGUCUCAUGAGCAGCUUUAUCAAGUUGGAAGGAACAACAGAAAUCAGCCUGAAAACCCUCUGGGAACAGGAACAAAAAGAACAUUCAUGAGUGAACGGAACAGGAAGAACUCCACGGCAGACCCCCAGGGGGUCAACCCAGCCCAGCCCAGCGAGCCAGUCUUUCGUGUCCAGGACCACGCAGAAGCACCACACUUGAGGGGGCCUCCUGUAAAACGUGGCUUCCAGACAAGAAGCUUAAAUGUCUUUGAAAAGGUAGCUGCUUGGUGGGUGGACAAAUAGGAAAACCAAAUGAGUAAAAAGCUCCACUUUGUCUGGA